GACGAACGCUGGCGGCGUGCUUAACACAUGCAAGUCGAACGGAAAGGCCCUGCUUUUGUGGGGUGCUCGAGUGGCGAACGGGUGAGUAACACGUGAGUAACCUGCCCUUGACUUUGGGAUAACUUCAGGAAACUGGGGCUAAUACCGGAUAGGAGCUCCUGCUGCAUGGUGGGGGUUGGAAAGUUUCGGCGGUUGGGGAUGGACUCGCGGCUUAUCAGCUUGUUGGUGGGGUAGUGGCUUACCAAGGCUUUGACGGGUAGCCGGCCUGAGAGGGUGACCGGCGACAAUGGGACUGAGAGACGGCCCAGACUCCUACGGGAGGCAACAGUGGGGAGUAUGGCACAAUGGGCGGACGCCUGAUGCAGCAGCGCCGCGUGCGGGAUGACGGCCUUCGGGUUGUAAACCGCUUUCGCCUGUGACGAAGCGUGAGUGACGGUAAUGGGUAAAGAAGCACCGGCUAACUACGUG
rnacentral:rRNA from 1 species